rnacentral:lncRNA from 1 species
GUGAAGAAAAGUGAAGGUUAGAGGGUGUUUGAGUCAAUUUCGGAUUUUGGAAAAGUGAUGAAAAAAAUGAGAUUUUUUUGAUUUUUUCUCUUCUCUCUGUUACCUCCAAAAUCGCCUCCUCUUGUUCUGAUUCGUUUGGAUCAAUUUAUAGGAUCAAUUGAUCAAUGCCUAUGACCAUUGGAUAAUUUUGAGUGUUGAUUAAAGUGUGCUUUGGCUGAAAAUUUGGUUUUGCAAAGAUAAAAGAAGAAAUGAAGUGAUUGGUCCUUCAUGCUUGCUUGUGAAUUUGGUGAAGAUUCAGCAUGGUUUUGAUGAAAAGUUGAAAAAGAGAGUAAGGCUAACAGCA